GGGAACAUACCCUUUUCUACGGAAUAGCUCUGGGAAACUGGAAUUAAUACCGUAUACGCCCUACGGGGGAAAGAUUUAUCGGGGAAGGAUUGGCCCGCGUUGGAUUAGCUAGUUGGUGGGGUAAAGGCCUACCAAGGCGACGAUCCAUAGCCGGUCUGAGAGGAUGAUCAGCCACAUUGGGACUGAGACACGGCCCAAACUCCUACGGGAGGCAGCAGUGGGGAAUAUUGGACAAUGGGCGCAAGCCUGAUCCAGCCAUGCCGCGUGAGUGAUGAAGGCCUUAGGGUUGUAAAGCUCUUUCACCGAUGAAGAUAAUGACGGUAGUCGGAGAAGAAGCCCCGGCUAACUUCGUGCCAGCAGCCGCGGUAAUACGAAGGGGGCUAGCGUUGUUCGGAAUUACUGGGCGUAAAGCGCACGUAGGCGGAUAUUUAAGUCAGGGGUGAAAUCCCAGAGCUCAACUCUGGAACUGCCUUUGAUACUGGGUAUCUUGAGUAUGGAAGAGGUAAGUGGAAUUGCGAGU
rnacentral:rRNA from 1 species